rnacentral:lncRNA from 1 species
AAAACCUACGAAAACUUAAAAGUAACUAAAGAACCAAUCUUUUCACGUCUUUGCAAUCAGAUAAGCAUGGAUUGACGGAAAGAUUGCAACAAAAAAGUUUACCAAAUAAUAGAUCGAGCCUUGAGAGCUCGGAAGCAAUCACAAAACCAUUUUUCAUGUUUGUAAAUUCAGCAAAGCUGAAUGGGACCGCAUUCAUGGAAAAAUUGCAGUGAAAAGUAUGGUAAAACAAAAUUUGCAAUAAAAAAGUGGUGCUCUAGCAGGUCCAUUGCCGCCGUGGUGCUGGUCGUCCAUCAUUCCAUAGAAGAAUCAAAACCUACGAAAGCUUAAAAGUAACCAAAGAACCAAUCUUUGCAUGUCUUCGCAAUCAGAUAAGCAUGGAUUGACGGAAAACUUGCGAUAAAAAGGUAUACCAAAUAAUAGAUCGCAGUUCGGGGGGGGACAAAAUCAAAAGCCAACAGAGCUCAGAAGUAAUCAGAGAAACCCCUUUUUCUUUUUCAUAACUUGAUAAACAGAGGAGCCAAGUUUUCUUAGAUUAAUGGAAAAUUUACAACAAAAAGAUCGCGACAUAAUGAAUGACAGUUCUGAAGAAGAACCAAAACCUCCGAGAGUUAAAAGUCAAAUCAAAAACUUUUUUUUUAACCAUUUCUCGACAGUAAGAAGAGCCAAGGGCAUCAAAUUGAUGGAAUACUUCCAACAGAAAAGAUGACAACAUAAAAAAUGGCAACUGUGAAGAACAGUCAAAACUCAAGAGCUCAGAGGGAAUCAAGAAACCAAUUUUUCUAUGCCUCAACAAUCAUCGGAACAUCUGAUUGAUGGAAAAAUUGAAAGGAAAAAAAAAAGCAAAAUAUUAAAUUGCCCGUCUUAAGAAUGAAAACCCUUGAGAGUUCACAAGUAACCAAAAAAAAAAAAACACUUUGUUGCAUGCCUCAACGACCAGAGAAGACUAAUGGCAUCAGAACGACGGAAAAGUUUCUGCAAAAAUAUCGCAAAGACAACAAAUAGCAGCUAUGGAGAAGAAUCGAAAUCCUACACAACUCGGAACUAAUCAAAGGAAACAAGGGAACAAAAAAACAUGUCUUUCAUGCCUUAGGAUCGGAUAACUCGAAAGCAUCAGGAGGGGGAUUGCAACAAAAAAAUAUAGCAAGAUACUGUGGCAACAGCCAUCGAUAAAUCCAGCCAGAAUAACUCCGGAAAUCUAGGUCAUGCGCAAAAAAGAUAGAGAGCAAUUAUUUAUUCAUAAGAGAGUGAAACCAAGAUCAAACCCCUAAUCAGAAAGCCAGAAAAUUCAGCAAAAACAAGCUAAGUGGAAGAAAGAAAACGAUGCGGAUAAAGAAAACCUGGAAGGAAAGAACCGCAGGGAGAUCAAAAGGAGUGACUAAAAAAUAAUUCAAAAAAAAACAGGAGAGAGACAGAGAGUUAAUCCGAGGAAGAGGGGAAGAGAAGAAGAUUGGGAGGAGGCUCUCUCUCAUCGCUUCUUACUUGCUUUGGCUCGCUGCUGGGGUCUUCUCUUACGCUUCUCCGCUUGGCGGCUGGGCCUCUCCGGCCCUCGCCAUCCCCCCCGAUGGUGUGAGGAUAACCCUAAACUCACCGCAUCGCAGCGCAAACCUUAGACCUUAACACAAUUAAUCACUCCAUCAAAAAGACAAAAAAAACAACUAAUCAUGGCUAGAAGUGGGCGGCCUUCGGCUUGGGCGACCCUGUGCUCCGCCAAGCCUAGUUGAAUUGUC